rnacentral:tRNA from 1 species
GUGGGUGUAGUUCAGGGGUUAGAGCACUAGAUUGUGGAUCUAGUUGUCGCGGGUUCAAAUCCCGUCACCCACC